CUGCGCACCAACGCCACAACAGGGCCGGAUUGCCGCUCUCCUACGUGUGUCGCUCCUGGAGCGUCGGGGAGGAACGGAACGAGGGGAUGAGAUGUGGUGGCGCUCUCCCUCUCUCCCUCUCUCUACUUGGUUUCUCUUUGUUAUUUUAUUAUUCUCUCUCUCUCUCUCUCUCUCUAUUGCGUGUUUCCAUUCUCGCCUCUUCCUCCAUUUCGUCUCCUCCUCACCUCGCUUCCUCCUCCACCUCACCACCUCCUCCACCUCACCUCCUCCCCCCAUAUCUCCACCUCCAUAUCUCACUUCCUCCUUAUCUCCACUUCCUCCAUCUCCUCCACCUCCCUCUUCCUCCUUCACCUCUUCCUCCUCCACCUCCCUCAUCCUCCACCUCUUCCUCCACCUCCUCCUCCACCACCUCAAGAAAACGCAGCAUCAGCAAAGGACGUGGUAUGCACUUAAUUAGCAGGUGGUGUUGCCGCCGCCACCACCACCACCACCACAGAUGAUAUGAACCAAGUUGACGGGGGUGACGGAGGCGGGGAACAUGGCGCGGUGAUCCUGCGGGCGGCCCAUCACCCCGCAUUGCUGAGAGCCCACGCCCACUCCCACGCCCACGCCCGUGUUGUAGCCCCGCACGCCCGCGCCC